rnacentral:rRNA from 1 species
AACGAACGCUGGCGGCAUGCCUAACACAUGCAAGUCGAACGGGAUCUUCGGGUCUAGUGGCGCACGGGUGCGUAACGCGUGGGAAUCUGCCCUUUAGUUCGGAAUAACAGUUGGAAACGACUGCUAAUACCGGAUGAUGACGAAAGUCCAAAGAUUUAUCGCCAGAGGAUGAGCCCGCGUAGGAUUAGCUAGUUGGUGUGGUAAAGGCGCACCAAGGCGACGAUCCUUAGCUGGUCUGAGAGGAUGAUCAGCCACACUGGGACUGAGACACGGCCCAGACUCCUACGGGAGGCAGCAGUGGGGAAUAUUGGACAAUGGGCGAAAGCCUGAUCCAGCAAUGCCGUGUGAGUGAUGAAGGCCUUAGGGUUGUAAAGCUCUUUUACCCGGGAUGAUAAUGACAGUACCGGGAGAAUAAGCUCCGGCUAACUCCGUGCCAGCAGCCGCCGCCG